AAAAGUACGCCCAGCUAAAGUGGAAACACUGUAUGCUGGUGCUGUAUUCAACCACUUGUUUACUUGUACCUGUUGCUUCCGUGGAGCUAAGGGUUCUCAUCCUGUUCGCAGGUGUGGGUUACCUUCCACGGGUGUAAUUUGAACGCUUGUUUAAUUGUAUGUAAUGUCUGAAUAGCUUUUAUAAUAAAGUU
rnacentral:misc_RNA from 1 species